UUACCGCGUGCAGUCUUCCCUGAGCUCAGUUGAAGGGUACGGGCCGUUCAGCUAACCAUCGGCUGGUGGGCAGAACAGGACAAAACCUGCUGAGAUGGCCACGAGUCAAGAAAGGAUUAAUUCUACAUCCUGAGAAGCUUCUCCAUAUGCUUGUGAUGAGUAUGAACCCCCAGUCUUCUGAACAGUCACAGCAUGAUUGCCAGAAAUAGAAGAAAACAUGGAGUCUCAGCUUGUAGAAGAAAAGGUAUUUUCAAUGGGAAAAUGAGUACACAUGGUACUGUCAAACAGAAAGAUGUCUUUGAAUUGCAAAGGAAAGAAGAAAGAGUUUGAAACUAAAAAAGAUUGUGUGCCUGAGAUAUAUUGGAG